rnacentral:rRNA from 1 species
GAUGAACGCUGGCGGCGUGCCUAAUACAUGCAAGUCGAGCGAGCAGACGAGGAGCUUGCUCCUCUGACGUUAGCGGCGGACGGGUGAGUAACACGUGGAUAACCUACCUAUAAGACUGGGAUAACUUCGGGAAACCGGAGCUAAUACCGGAUAAUAUAUUGAACCGCAUGGUUCAAUAGUGAAAGACGGUUUUGCUGUCACUUAUAGAUGGAUCCGCGCCGCAUUAGCUAGUUGGUAAGGUAACGGCUUACCAAGGCGACGAUGCGUAGCCGACCUGAGAGGGUGAUCGGCCACACUGGAACUGAGACACGGUCCAGACUCCUACGGGAGGCAGCAGUAGGGAAUCUUCCGCAAUGGGCGAAAUCCUGACGGAGCAACGCCGCGUGAGUGAUGAAGGUCUUCGGAUCGUAAAACUCUGUUAUUAGGGAAGAACAAAUGUGUAAGUAACUAUGCACGUCUUGACGGUACCUAAUCAGAAAGCCACGGCUAACUACGUG